rnacentral:rRNA from 2 species
UCGAGCGGACAGAUGGGAGCUUGCUCCCUGAUGUUAGCGGCGGACGGGUGAGUAACACGUGGGUAACCUGCCUGUAAGACUGGGAUAACUCCGGGAAACCGGGGCUAAUACCGGAUGGUUGUUUGAACCGCAUGGUUCAAACAUAAAAGGUGGCUUCGGCUACCACUUACAGAUGGACCCGCGGCGCAUUAGCUAGUUGGUGAGGUAACGGCUCACCAAGGCAACGAUGCGUAGCCGACCUGAGAGGGUGAUCGGCCACACUGGGACUGAGACACGGCCCAGACUCCUACGGGAGGCAGCAGUAGGGAAUCUUCCGCAAUGGACGAAAGUCUGACGGAGCAACGCCCCGUGAGUGAUGAAGGUUUUCGGAUCGUAGGGCUCUGUUGUUAGGGAAAAACAAGUACCGUUCGAAUAGGGCGGUACCUUGACG